rnacentral:lncRNA from 1 species
UAACGUUAGCUUGGUGGAUCAGUUGUAACUCAUUUUCAUUGAUAGUUGAAUAAUAAAAGCUUGUUUCUCCAUUUUUAUCUUCUUAUUUUUCUUUAGUUCUUUCAAUAAAUUUUAGUCUAUUACAAGUUGGUAUCAGAGCAUCUUCCUGGCACCAUGACAGUACCAAAAACUUGAGCAAAAGUUACAGAGGAUAGUGUCAAAAAAUUGAAAAGUCAAUUGCGCAAUUACAUGGCAGAGACCAACAAAAAAUUGGAGUCGAAUGACUCUAAAAUGUAUGAAUUAAAUCAUAAAUUUGAUUUGAUGAUGGAUAAAUUCUUCGCGAGCACGGAUGUAAUCUUAGGGAGUACUCCAACAAGUUCUCACACGAUUGAAGGGUCUGGUAGGAAGGAUGAUGGAGACCCAUGAAACUUCAACUGGCAGAUUCCAUUGAACAACUCUACCUCUAAUAUCGAUUGCCCUUAUUUUGAGGAUUGAGAUCCCAGAUCUUGGCUGCAGAAAUGUGAGAGGUAUUUUCAUUACAAUCACAUAACUUAUUCAUAACACAAAUUAAAAAAUGGCGUGCUACAUCUAAAUGGGAGGGCAGAAGCUUGGUAUUUCUCUUACCAACUGAGUAGAGGCACUGUUAAAUGGAAUGAUUUCAUAGAAGAAAUUUGUAAAAGAUUCAAUGAUGCUGAUAAUAACAACCUCAAUUUGUUGGGAAAAUUUUAAAAGGGUGGAACAAAAUGAAUGGGUAUUUAGAGAUAUUUAAGGACUUGAAGGCAUGGGUGUUGAUUAAACAUCCCACUAUACCUGAAGAAUUUUUCUUGGAGUUCUGCAUUGAAGGACUUAAGGAAGAGAUUAGACACACAGUCAAGAGCUUGAUCCUUAUCCCUAAGUCAUGCUGUGGAGAAGGUUAGAUACAAGGAGGAAUUAUUGGAGUCCAUGAGCAGGAAGAAUAGAGUUUAUGGAGGAAGACAAUCAACUCAAUUUAGUACCCUUUUGCUAGUACUACAAGAAAUAAACCCUCUAGGUUAUGUGCAGAAGGAGGGAAGUCAUCAUGCAUCAAUCUCAGGGACCAAACUGUUUGAGGCCAGAAAGACCAGGAGAGAGUGCUACAAGUGUGGUGAAAAGUAUUUCCCUGGGCAUGUUUGUAAGAGUAAACUACUGAAUGCCUUAUCUGGUACUACUGAUCAUGAAUAGUUGGAAAUAGGACCUAAUCAGGAGAAUGAAUUUUUCCCUGAUGAAAACUCAGAAAUAGUUAUUGAUGAGGCAAUCAACCUCAAUGAACUAUCAGUAACUAUGACCUCUACAACAAUCAAACUGAAAGGAGUAUAUGGGAAACACGUAUUAAUAGUUUUAGCAGACAUUGGCAUUACUCAUAGAUUCAUAGCUAGUAGUACUGCCAAACAACUGUGGUGUGCAAUCCAAGAGGAUGUGCCUAUGCGGGUGGCUGCUACUAAUGGAGGACACCGGAUGAGUUACCAAUCUUGCCCUCAGCUCAAAUGGAAGAUUCAAGGGAUUUAUUUUGAGCAUAAACUGAGAUUAUUGGAUAUAGGGGGUGUGAUAUAGUCCUUGGAGUACACUGGAUGAGGAAACACAAUCUAGUCUUGUUUAAUUUUAUUGGUUAUAGAUUGCAGGUGAGUGUGAAAGGAAAAGGGGUGGAUUUGAAAGGCUACUAUGAGGAAGGUAAGUUACAAAGUAUGACAACUACUGGUGUAAAACACAUCUGCUCAAGAAAGAGCAAGUAUUAUGGGCACAUCUGUUCACAAUCACCAUCAAAACCACAGAAGAACAUAAAGGCAUACCUGAUAUGAUCCAGGAUGUAAUUAAUGAGUUUUGGGGAGUGUUUGUUGAGCCAAAAUGCUUGCCACCAAGGAGGAAUCAUGACCAUCACAUUCCACUUAAACCUGAGGCAGCACCUGUCAGUAUCAGAUCAUACAGGUAUAAUUACAUUCAAAAAAAUGAGAUAGAGAAAUAAGUUAAUGAAAUGCUUAGCAAUAGUACUAUUCAACCCUAUCAUUCCCAUUCUCUUCCCUUGUGUUAUUAGUCAAGAAACAAGAUGGGAGUUGGAGGUUUUACAUUGACUAUAGAGAGCUAAAUAAGAUGGCAAUUAAAGAUAAGUUUUCAAUUCCCUUGGUGGAUGACCUGAUGGAUUAGCUAAAUGGUUCUUGCAUUUAUUGAAAAAUUAAUAUAAGAGCUGGUUAUCAUCAAAUAAGGAUGAAGGAGGGUGACAUCUUUAAAACUGCAUUUAGAACACAUCUAGGGUACUAUUAGUUUAGGGUCAUGCCUUUUGGCUUGACCAAUGCCCCUCCUACCUUUCAAAGUCUCAUGAACCAUGUGUUCAAGCCCUUCUUGAGGAAGUUUGUAUUGGUAUUCUUUGAUGACAUACUAGUCUAUAGCUCUUCUAUGGAGAAUCAUGUGUUACAUCUCAAGAAAGUUUAGAAGGUACAUCUUUAUGCAAAGCUGUCCAAAUGUACUUUUGGACAUGAUAGGAUGGAAUAUUUGGGGCAUAUCAUUUUAGGAAAAGGAGUUUUCACUGACCCUGCCAAAGUUGAAGAAAUGAUGAACUGGCAUGUACCCAAGUCUGUUAAGGCUCUAAGGGGGGUCCUUGGUUUGACUAGCUACUAUAGAAGGUUUGUUAAAUUCUUUGGAAUCAUCAGCAUGCUACUAACUAACUUGCUGAAGAAGAACUCCUUCCAAUGGACUGAUGAGGCAGAAGCUGCCUUUCAGCAGUUAAAGACAGCAAUGUCAACAGUACUAGUGAUAGGCUUGGUUGAUUUCAAAGUCCUUUGUGGUAGAAACUAAUGCAUAUGCUACCGGGACGGGGGCUGUACUAAUGCAAGGAGGAAGACCUAUAGAUUUUUUCAGCAAGGCCUUGGCACCAAAGCAUAGAGGCUUAUCUACUUAUGAGAAGUAAUAAGUAGAUAUUACUGUUGACAUGGAGACAUUACUUGCGAGGGGAACAUUUCAUUGUUUAGACAGAUCAUCAAAGCCUAAAGUAUCUACUAGAGUAGAAGGUAACUACAACCUUAUAACAGAAGGAACUGACAAAAUUGGUGGGACUGGACUAUGAGGUUCAGUACAAGAAAGGGAGUGAGAAUAAGGUGGCAGAUACACUUUCAAGAAGGCAGGACGAAGAUUCUACAUUAUUGGCUAUAUAUACUAUACAGGACACUUGACUGCAGGAAAUUAACAUCAGUUAUGAGGAUGAUCCAAUAGCCUUACAACUACUGGUGAGUUAACAGUUGCUCCUAGCAAUAAGGUUGAUUAUUCAUUGCAUCAGGGAGUCAUAAGGUAUAAGCAGAAGAUCUAUGUGGGAAGGGACACUGAUCUCAGGAAAAUAUUAUUGCAGACUACGCACUAUUCUACCAUUGGUGGACAUCAAGGCCAUCAGUGUAUCUAUAAAAUAUUACAACUUCUCUUCUAUUGUCCUAACAUUAAAGGAAUGUUUGUAAAUGAGUGGAUGAGUGUGAUGUCUUUCAAAAAGUGAAGACAGAGAAUAUUCACACCCCAGGAUUGCUUCAACCUCUCCCAAUUCUAGAUCAAGCCUGGCAAGACAUCUCCAUGGACUUUGUGGAGGGACUGCCCAAAGUUGGGAACAAAAAUGCCAUGCUAGAGGUAGUUGGCAAGCUCACUAAGUAUGAUCAUCUUUUGGCUCUCAAACACCCAUUUUCAAUGGCUGAUCUAUUUCUCAAUGAGAUCUACAUAUUACAUGGAUUGCCCAGAGACCAGAUCAAUAGUAUCAGAUAUGGAUCCUAUUUUCACUAGCCAUUUGUGGCAACACCUCUUCAAAACUAUAGGGACCAAACUGAAUAUGAGUAUAGCCUACCAUCCACAAUCAAAUAGGCGGACAGAAUAACUUAACAGGUGUAUAAAAACCUAUCUGUGAGCAAUGGUGUUUGAUAAUCCUAAGCUAUGGUCCAAAUGGCCCCAUUUGGCAGAGUGAUGGUAUUAUACAAAUUUUCAUAGUGCAUUACAGACAACUCCAUUUCAAGCCUUGUAUGGGUAUUCCCCACCCUAACUACCAACAUGAUCCUCGCCUAAUGUCGGUCAGUCACUAGCAGGGUUGAGUUUGGCUCAACUCCAGCACAUGCUACAAGCUCAAAAAGAAAAUCUAAGUAGAGCACAAGAUCACAUGUAAUUCUACGCAGACAGACUUCGGUCAAAAAGGAUAUUAGAAGUCGGGGAUAAAGUCUACCUAAAGUUACAACCCUACCUACAGUAUUCUAUUGAUGUGCGCAAAAAUGUGAAGCUUUGCACCAAGUACUAUGUACCUUAUAAGAUUGAAUAGAAAAUCGGGUCAGCAGCUUACUGAUUGGAGCUUCCACCUGGGUCGCAACUUCGUCCUGUUUUUCAUGUCUCAAGACUGAAACCCUGAGUUGGCCCAACCAUAGUUCUGGAGCGACAACCUCCCCCCUGUGAUGCAGAUGGUCGAGUUUUGAUUUAACUUGUAGCCAUUCUUCGGCGCAAAAUGGUCAAAAUCACUAAUGGUGUGGGAGUGAAAUUGUUGGUUCAGUGGGCUAAUCUGAAUGAAAAGGAACCUUCUUAGAAGGACUGGGGUUACAUCAAGAGUCGAUCCCUUGAGUUUAUUGCACAACAUCAACCUUGAGGACAAGGUCUUUCUCGAAAGGGAUGGGAUUGUUAUGUUCGGAGAUCUCUAGGUUACAAAUUAGGAAAAUUAGUUGAAUCAUCUAGACACUCACUUUAGUAUGAGUGCUUGGGCCUGAUAAAUUGGAUUGAUAGACGGGUUAUUACACCGAGUAGGUAGAGUGUAUUAAUAAGUUGGGCAUAAUUUCAAAGGCUCAGUUCUAGCAAAG